UACAGAGGUCCCAAGCGUUGUUCGGAUUCACUGGGCGUAAAGGGUGCGUAGGCGGUCAGGUAAGUCUGAUGUGAAAUCUCUGGGCUUAACCCAGAAAUGGCAUUGGAUACUAUUUGGCUUGAGAGUUGGAGGGGGGACUGGAAUUCUUGGUGUAGCAGUGAAAUGCGUAGAUAUCAAGAGGAACACCAGUGGCGAAGGCGAGUCCCUGGACAACUUCUGACGCUGAGGCACGAAAAGCUAGGGGGGAGCAAAACGGG
rnacentral:rRNA from 1 species